rnacentral:pre_miRNA from 2 species
GUUAAGGGGUAUGUUGUCUGGCUCGGUGCCCCCGGUCGGGAUCGACAGUCGUCGACUCUCCCUUCGCCGGGAGAUAGGCGACGUACGUCGGUACGUACGUGCGCGUCGAUUGAUCGGGGACGUCGGACCAGGCUUCAUUCCCUUUAAC